UACAGAGGGUGCGAGCGUUGUCCGGAAUCACUGGGCGUAAAGGGCGCGUAGGCGGUCUGCUAAGCGUGUGGUGAAAGCCCGGGGCUCAACCCCGGGUCGGCCGUGCGAACUGGUGGACUGGAGCUUGUCAGAGGCAGGCGGAAUUCCGGGUGUAGCGGUGGAAUGCGUAGAGAUCCGGAAGAACGACCGGUGGCGAAGGCGGCCUGCUGGGACAGUGCUGACGCUGAAGCGCGACAGCGUGGGGAGCAAACAGG
rnacentral:rRNA from 1 species